GUGUCAGCAGCCGCGGUAAGACGAACCGUGCGAACGUUAUUCGGAAUCACUGGGCUUAAAGCGCGUGUAGGCGGACCGGCACGUCUGGUGCUGAAAUCCCCCGGCUCAACCGGGGAAGUGGCACGGAUACGACCGGUCUGGAGGGGGGUAGGGGGCGCCGGAACUUCCGGUGGAGCGGUGAAAUGCGUUGAGAUCGGAAGGAACGCCCGUGGCGAAAGCGGGCGCCUGGACCCCACCUGACGCUGAGACGCGAAAGCCAGGGGAGCGAACGGGAUUAGAUACCCCUGUAGUCC
rnacentral:rRNA from 1 species